rnacentral:sRNA from 1 species
GUUCUGAACCUCCUUUACGAUUUCGUGCGUGACGAUUCUAAGGUGAACUACGACAGGCUUUUGGAAUUUCACAAAUUCGAUAAAGUUGCGCUGGAAACUGUGCAGAAGUACCAUGUGGAAGUAGGAUACGGUGGUGGCGUGUACCUUUAAAAUUGAAUUAUUUCAGACCCGAAAUGAAAAUAUCAUUCUAAUGAUUUCAAGCUCUUCACGAAAAACGUUAAUUCUGUUCGGCGGUAUCUCUCAUGAAACUUUCUGUUCCCAUCAGGCGAGAGCACUUUUGUGCUCUUCUUCUACGGUAGGUCAUAUUUUGUAAAAAAUUUGAAACUGACCAAUCAGCAUCUAGCCACGCCCACUCCUCUGAUUGGUUCGAAAAAAAAAAGACGUGGCAAAACGCUGAUUGGUCCGAGAUUAAAAUUGCAUGAAAAAAUUAAUGAAGAAUAAUUUCAGAGCUUCUCGAUUCCUCUACCGGUUUGUGCAAUUUCUGCAGUUUUCUACUCAUCGACCCAAUUUAUUCUCGGCGACGUUUCUGGAAAUAUCUCAAUGUGUUCGAAAGAUAAAAUAAUUUUCGAGAAGAAGG